rnacentral:misc_RNA from 1 species
GAUGAAGAACGUAGCGAAAUGCGAUAAGUAAUGCGAAUUGCAGAAUUCCAGUGAGUCAUCGAAUCUUUGAACGCACAUUGCGCCCCCUGGUAUUCCGGGGGGCAUGCCUGUUCGAGCGUCAUUUCACCACUCAAGCCUCGCUUGGUAUUGGGCAACGCGGUCCGCCGCGUGCCUCAAAUCGACCGGCUGGGUCUUCUGUCCCCUAAGCGUUGUGGAAACUAUUCGCUAAAGGGUGUUCGGGAGGCUACGCCGUAAAACAACCCCAUUUCUAAGGUUGACCUCGGAUCAGGUAGGGAUACCCGCUGAACUUAAGCAUAUCAAUAAGCGGAGGA